UGAUAUAAAUUCAACGGCCGCGGUAUAUUGACCGUGCAAAGGUAGCAUAAUCAUUAGUCUUUUAAUAGGGGGCUGGUAUGAAAGGUUAAACGAAACAUUAACUGUCUUAUUUAUAAAUAUUAAAAUUUAACUUUUAAGUCAAAAGGCUUAAAUUUUUUUGGAGGACGAGAAGACCCUAUAGAGCUUUACAUUAUGUUUUUUAAUAUUUCUUGGUUAAAUAUUUUGAUAUUAAUUUAUCUAUUGUUUUGUUGGGGUGACAAUAAAAUAUGAUUAACUUUUUAUAAAACUUACAUUUAUUUAUGAAUUUUUGAUCCAAUAUUAUUGAUCAUUAGAUUAAGUUACCUUAGGGAUAACAGCGUAAUCUUUCUUAGGAGUUCAAAUUUACAGAAAGGCUUGCGACCUCGAUGUUGGAUUAAGAUAAUAGUUAGGUGCAGUAGCUUAACGAAUAAGCCUGUUCAACCUUUAAAUUCUU
rnacentral:rRNA from 1 species